UAGUCAGGAUCAGGCAUGGACAGGCCAUCUGGCGUACCGGGCAAUGCCUCACUCUUGACACACUUGUCCUCUCUUUCUUCCCUUUGGAAUGAAGGUUUGCCUUUCCCAGAUGUGGAGUUUCCAUGUGUUCUUUUUCUUUCAUUAGCACCAAGGUCCAUGUAACCUUUUGUCUCAGCAUAUGUGCCACUUUGACAAGGAGCUCUUUAUUUUACAGGGAUAUAUGGUCUUACUGUGGUCUUAAUUGUGUAGUUGUAUAAAC